rnacentral:rRNA from 1 species
GUGCCUAAUACAUGCAAGUCGAGCGACUGGAUUGAGAGCUUGCUCUCAAGAAGUUAGCGGCGGACGGGUGAGUAACACGUGGGUAACCUGCGCAUAAGACUGGGAUAACUCCGGGAAACCGGGGCUAAUACCGGAUAACAUUUUGAACUGCAUGGUUCGAAAUUGAAAGGCGGCUUCGGCUGUCACUUAUGGAUGGACCCGCGUCGCAUUUAAUAGUUGGUGAGGUAACGGCUCACCACGGCAACGAUGCGUAGCCGACCUGAGAGGGUGAUCGGCCACACUGGGACUGAAAAACGGCCCAAACUCCUACGGGAGGCAGCAGUAGGGAAUCUUCCGCAAUGGACAAAAGUCUGAGGGAGCAACCCCGCGUGAGUGAUGAAGGCUUUCGGGUCGAAAAACUCUGUUGUUAGGAAAAAACAAGUGCUAUUUGAAUAACUUGGCACCUUGACGGUACCUAACCAGAAACCCACGGUUAACUACGUGCCCGCAGCCGCCGCAAUACUAAGGUGGAAAGCGUAUAUCCGGAGUUAUUGGGCGUCUGUGCGCGCAUAUGUCUCUUUAAUUCUGAUGUGAAAGCCCC